rnacentral:rRNA from 1 species
AGUUUGAUCAUGGCUCAGAUUGAACGCUGGCGGCAGGCCUAACACAUGCAAGUCGAGCGGCAGCACAAGUGAGUUUACUUAUGAAGUGGCGAGCGGCGGACGGGUGAGUAAUGCCUAGGGAUCUGCCCAGUCGAGGGGGAUAACAGUUGGAAACGACUGCUAAUACCGCAUACGCCCUACGGGGGAAAGGAGGGGACCUUCGGGCCUUCCGCGAUUGGAUGAACCUAGGUGGGAUUAGCUAGUUGGUGAGGUAAUGGCUCACCAAGGCGACGAUCCCUAGCUGUUCUGAGAGGAUGAUACAGCCACACUGGGACUGAGACACGGCCCAGACUCCUACGGGAGGCAGCAGUGGGGAAUAUUGCACAAUGGGGGAAACCCUGAUGCAGCCAUGCCGCGUGUGUGAAGAAGGCCUUCGGGUUGUAAAGCACUUUCAGUGGGGAGGAAAGGGUGAGUCUUAAAUACGGCUCAUCUGUGACGUUUACCUACAAGAAGAAGGGACCGGCUAACUCCCNGUUGCCCAGGCAGCCGCGGUAAUACGGAGGGUCCGAGCGUUUAUCGGAAUUACUGGGCGUAAAGCGGUGCGCAGGCGGUUU